rnacentral:rRNA from 1 species
CCUAGGGAGGCAGCAGUGGGGAAUAUUGGACAAUGGGGGCAACCCUGAUCCAGCCAUGCCGCGUGUGUGAAGAAGGCCCUCGGGUUGUAAAGCACUUUCAGUGAGGAAGAACGCCUGGUGGUUAAUACCCAUCAGGAAAGACAUCACUCACAGAAGAAGCACCGGCUAACUCCGUGCCAGCAGCCGCGGUAAUACGGAGGGUGCGAGCGUUAAUCGGAAUUACUGGGCGUAAAGCGCGCGUAGGUGGCUUGAUAAGCCGGUUGUGAAAGCCCCGGGCUCAACCUGGGAACGGCAUCCGGAACUGUCAAGCUAGAGUGCAGGAGAGGAAGGUAGAAUUCCCGGUGUAGCGGUGAAAUGCGUAGAGAUCGGGAGGAAUACCAGUGGCGAAGGCGGCCUUCUGGACUGACACUGACACUGAGGUGCGAAAGCGUGGGUAGCAAACAGGAUUAGAUACCCCAGUAGUC